GCAAGUCGAGCGAUGAAGCCCUUCGUGGGUGGAUUAGCGGCGGACGGGUGAGUAACACGUGGGUAACCUGCCUCAAAGUGGGGGAUAGCCUUCCGAAAGGAAGAUUAAUACCGCAUAAUCCAUAAGUUCCGCAUGGAACAUAUGGUAAAGAUCUAUUGCUUCGAGAUGGACCCGCGGCGCAUUAGCUAGUUGGUGAGGUAACGGCUCACCAAGGCCACGAUGCGUAUCCGACCUGAGAGGGUGAUCGGCCACAUUGGAACUGAGACACGGUCCAGACUCCUACGGGAGGCAGCAGUGGGGAAUAUUGCACAAUGGGCGAAAGCCUGAUGCAGCAACGCCGCGUGAGUGAUGAAGGCCUUCGGGUUGUAAAGCUCUGUCUUUGGGGACGAUAAUGACGGUACCCAAGGAGGAAGCCACGGCUAACUACGUGCCAGCAGCCGCGGUAAUACGUAGGUGGCAAGCG
rnacentral:rRNA from 1 species